UACGAAGGGGGCUAGCGUUGUUCGGAAUUACUGGGCGUAAAGCGCACGUAGGCGGAUAUUUAAGUCAGGGGUGAAAUCCCAGAGCUCAACUCUGGAACUGCCUUUGAUACUGGGUAUCUUGAGUAUGGAAGAGGUGAGUGGAAUUCCGAGUGUAGAGGUGAAAAUUCGUAGAUAUUCGGAGGAACACCAGUGGCGAAGGCGGCUCACUGGUCCAUAACUGACGCUGAGGUGCGAAAGCGUGGGGAGCAAACAGGG
rnacentral:rRNA from 1 species